GAAUGGCCGUUCACUCGUUCUCCAUUGGUGUCGAUCACAACUCCCCAGAUGUUGUGGCUGCUAGAAAAGUUGCAAAGUUUAUUGGAACUACUCAUCAUGAGUUCUAUUUCAGCAUUGAGG
rnacentral:sRNA from 1 species